UGAGAAAAAAAAACCAGGUUUGGUUGAAUUUUCAAUAAACUUUGUAACUUUCAUUUGGCUUAUGUCGAACCACAUCUUUCAGGGCUUAGAAAACUAAGGAGACAUAUGGUCUUUGAAGUGGAAAAUUGUUAGAACCUUGCCAGAUGCACGGUAUCCUGGCAGCUACUUAUGUAAUACAUUUGGGCUUCAGAACCAUCUCCGGGUUCCAUUUUGUGAUGCGUGGAGCAGAUGUGCAUAGAGCAAGCCAUGCUUACUGCCUCUCAUCACUGGGAACUCUGACAUCCACCUGAACAAUUAUGCACUUUCUUCUGAUCUUCAAACCACUCCCCAAAGCUGACAUGAGGUGAAUGUUUUCUCCAUGAUGUGCAGUACCACAACAUGUGACAAGGAUGAGCCACCCUGGACUAAAGCCAAUGAAAUCAUGAGCCAGCACUAAUUGUCCUCUUCAAGGCGAAUGAAGAUCUCAAGCGUUUUGUCUUAGUAAUGGAAGACUUAUUACUAUGUAUACCUGCUAUUAGUCAAGUAUAAAUGUUCAUCUAAAACCUACAGGGUUGCUCACAUAGACCGACCUAUAAUCUCAGAAGUUUUGAAUUAUAGAAGUUGCAGGAAUCCAGAUAUCUUUGGGAAUGAAACAAGGAAUUGUUUAGAAUUUUUUCAAGGAAACAGAGAGAAACUGAAAUUGCUUAGGACAAAUCUAAAGGCAUGGUACCAUGAUGAAGUCUGACAGGAAGCUAUUCUCAUCAUGGGCUGGAGUGAGAGGUUACAUCCUUUUUCCUUUU
rnacentral:sRNA from 1 species